AACACGCCCAGGGUACGGGGAAGCCCUAGCCAAGUCCUGUGAUUUGCAAAGCACCCCGGACAAUGUUUUUCAGAGUCAUCAAGGAAGGAAAGAAGGCCGUCUGCUAAGUUUCGGGCGUCCUCCCUCGCGCGCAGUUGCCAGGCGCUUCUGUCCAGACGCAGGCUGGAAAGUUACUUUGCCACUCGCACCGCGUUCAAGGAGGGCGCCGCAGUGAUGUUGCGGAAGCGGGAAGGUUCUUGGAGAAGCCAGGACACAAAGCAGCGUGAAGUCAGAAUAGUCUAAGGUGCCUAAGUGUCCCAGCAGAAGACUGGGCUGUUCAUAGAAGAAAUGGACAAAUAAUUGAAAAGUUCUUUGGCACAGAGGCUUAAUCUCUAUAUCUGGGAGCAAAGCUGGAGGAAAGGAAGAUUUUGAGAAUGUCGUUCUUGGCUUGAAAUGCCAACAGUCAUCAGAUAGGAAAAGUCUGGAAAACUGUUUUCAGAAAGCAGAAGGCAAGAACUCAACUAAGUGCACUUGACUGAGCAACAUAAUCUAACAGCUUGUAUCCAGAUGCAUAUUGUUCCUUGUGCUGGACAUUGGAAUAUGUGAUGUAUGUGUGUGUAUAAACAUGGUGUAAUGUUUGGGUAAACCAACAUUUGCCUACAGCCUUUUCAAUCCAUGUCAUGCAAAUGCAGUGCUGGCACUAGAAUACGCCAAUAUUUUCUGUGGGGGAAGAUGAUCAUAAUUAUUCAUUUAUGUUUAGAACACCUACAAUUUAUUAAGCCCUGCACAAUGAUAACAUCACUAUCCCAUCUUGCCAGCCUGAGACCAGUCUAAAUAACUUCAUAAGCAAGAUGCUAUUGGCCAGGAAAACGCAUUAUUGAGUAACAUGGUCCUGGCUAUUACUGCAGGGCUCUCUACACAAGGCUAUUUUUUUUUUUUUAAAGUUGGACCAGAUUGCAGCCUAAAUAUUUUAGUGGAGUUCUCUUGGGAUAUUGAACAAUCAACAAUGGCACCGAGAACUAAAGUUUCUGAGCACAAAGGUUGGUGAUUACCUUGAAAGCCAUAAAUGGCUUAGGUCCAAAGUAUUUAAGCCAGAAUAGGGAACUGAAUACGAUCUGAGGGCUGGAUUCAGUCCUUCAUUUCCUCUAAUAGGCUGGAUAGUCAGGGACUUGGAAUUUAGGAACAGGAAGUCUAAUCCCUGAUACUUGCAUAUUUCUUGUAGAAGGCAGAAGUAAAUGACAGUUCCCUGCCUUCCCUUGCAUGCAGGAAACCUUACUCAUAACCACCCUGCUGUCCUUGAGCUGGAGCAAAGCAGAUAUGGGUCUCUUUUGGUUGACCUCUUUCUUUUCUGAAUGGGACAAGCAUGGUUUGGGUGAAAGAGUUCUGUGCUUCCAGGCAUUCUUCUGGGAUGCCUGAACAUGCUGCUCUCAGUGGUCUUGGAGGUACUGGGCCUUUCCUUCUGUGGAUGGUGCAGCACAGCUGAGAAAGGACUACACAUAUAGUCGCUGCCCAGAGUCACUUGUUGAGAUGGGCAGCUAUAGAAAUCAAACAAGUUCUUCCAGCUGGAGCAUAGCUUUUUGCAAUCUCAACUAUAUCAUAACUUCUCCUUUUGGAAAAUAUAUCAUGCACCAAAGACUGAACCAUGCUUGCAGAUGUAUCCCAUGGGUUUGGGGAAUGCAUUAGGAUUCACAGGCCAGGUAGACUAGCUUUGUGGGCCAGACAAAGUCUCCAGGCCAGAUGUUCUCCACAUCUAAUUUAAGGGGACACCACAAGUACUGUAUCAGCUUGCUUACUUCCUACAGACAGGAUCUUUAUAUCCCAUGUGUAAUGGAGGCAUGAAUGAAAUUAAAGGACUUAAUGUCCAUAUUCACCUUUGAUCCAAGAAACUGUCUAUUCAUUUCUAUCAUCUGCUAGACCAUUUCAGGUAGUUUUUGUCUUCAGGCAGAUGAUGAUUUCUGCAA